rnacentral:rRNA from 1 species
GACGAACGCUGGCGGCGUGCUUAACACAUGCAAGUCGUACGGUAAGGCCCUUUCGGGGGUACACGAGUGGCGAACGGGUGAGUAACACGUGAGUAACCUGCCCACAACUUUGGGAUAACGCUAGGAAACUGGUGCUAAUACUGGAUAUGUGCUCCUGCUGCAUGGUGGGGGUUGGAAAGCUCCGGCGGUUGUGGAUGGACUCGCGGCCUAUCAGCUUGUUGGUGGGGUAGUGGCCUACCAAGGCGGCGACGGGUAGCCGGCCUGAGAGGGUGACCGGCCACAUGGGGCAGAAGAAAAGGCCAGGACUCCUGGGGGAGGAAGCGGGGGGGAAUAGUGCAAAGGGGGAGCAAGCCUGAGGCAACAACGCCGGGGGGAGGAGGAGGUCCUGGGGGUUAUAAACCACUAAAAGCAGGGACGAGGUUUUUGGGGAGGGUACGGGAAGAAGAAGCACCGGCAAACUCCGUG